rnacentral:rRNA from 1 species
CCUACGGGUGGCAGCAGUGAGGAAUAUUGGUCAAUGGGCGCGAGCCUGAACCAGCCAAGUCGCGUGAAGGAUGACUGCCCUACGGGUUGUAAACUUCUUUUAUAAAGGAGUAAAGUGAGGCACGUGUGCCUUUUUGUAUGUACUUUAUGAAUAAGGAUCGGCUAACUCCGUGCCAGCAGCCGCGGUAAUACGGAGGAUCCGAGCGUUAUCCGGAUUUAUUGGGUUUAAAGGGAGCGUAGAUGGGAUGUUAAGUCAGUUGUGAAAGUUUGGGGCUCAACCGUAAAAGUGCAAUUGAUACUGGCAGUCUUGAGUGAAGUAGAGGUAGGCGGAAUUCGUGGUGUAGCGGUGAAAUGCGUAGAUAUCACUAAGAACUCCGAUUGCGAAGGCAGCUUACUAAACUGCCACUGACGUUGAUGCUCGAAAGUGUGGGUAUCAAACAGGAUUAGAUACCCGUGUAGUC